AACAAGACCAGACAAUACGGUACAUAUUAUUGCUACGGAAAAGUUAUACAGUCAUGCAUCCCAAAGAAGUAAGAAUAUCUGUAAGAUGUGAUGGACGGAGGAUUCUGAUAAACAGGACACUUGGAAGGGUUGUGAUAUAACCGCUGUGCACACUGUGGUGGGAGAUGUUCUAAGGUUUGAUAUCUUCAAUUUCAUCCAGAUGUACAAAAUAUUUUUGGUUUUCCUUUUUUUA